AGAAGGGCAUUUGGUGGAUGCCUUGGCAUGCACAGGCGAUGAAGGACGUGAUACGCUGCGAAAAGCCGUGGGGAGCUGCGAAUAAGCUUUGAUCCAUGGAUCUCCGAAUGGGGCAACCCACCUUAGAUGCUUGGAAAAUUUAAGCCGUGCGAUGUACGGCUUAGGUUUCCAAGCAUUGUUGAAAGGUAUCUUAUCCUGAAUACAUAGGGAUAAGAAGCGAACGCAGGGAACUGAAACAUCUAAGUACCUGCAGGAAAGGACAUCAACCGAGACUCCGCAAGUAGUGGCGAGCGAACGCGGACCAGGCCAGUGGCAAUGAGGAAUAAAGUGGAAGGAUCUGGAAAGGUCCGCCGUAGCGGGUGACAGCCCCGUACACGUAGAACACUCAUUGUCCUUGAGUAAGGCGGGACACGAGAAAUCCUGUCUGAACAUGGGGAGACCACUCUCCAAGCCUAAGUACUCGUGCAUGACCGAUAGCGAACAAGUACCGUGAGGGAAAGGUGAAAAGCACCCCGACAAGGGGAGUGAAAUAGAACCUGAAACCGGAUGCCUACAAACAGUCGGAGCCCGCCCUCCAAAUUCCUUGGAGGGGCGUUUCGAAUAUCUCGUCGUUUACGGCGGGAAUUUGGAAGACUUUAAAGUGACCCCAAAUGCCAAGGCAUUUGGUGGGUGGGUGACGGCGUACCUUUUGUAUAAUGGGUCAACGACUUAGUGUGACAUGCAAGCUUAAGCCGGUAGGUGGAGGCGUAGCGAAAGCGAGUCUGAACAGGGCGCCUUAGUAUGUCGCAUUAGACCCGAAACCGAGUGAUCUAGCCAUGAGCAGGUUGAAGGUUGGGUAACACCAACUGGAGGACCGAACCCGCAUCUGUUGCAAUAGAUUGGGAUGACUUGUGGCUAGGGGUGAAAGGCCAAUCAAACUCGGAAAUAGCUGGUUCUCCGCGAAAUCUAUUUAGGUAGAGCGUCGACCGAAUACCCCCGGGGGUAGAGCACUGGAUGGGCUAUGGGGACUCACCGUCUUACUGAUCCUAACCAAACUCCGAAUACCGGGGAGUACUAGUCGGCAGACACACGGCGGGUGCUAACGUCCGUCGUGAAAAGGGCAACAACCCUGACCUCCAGCUAAGGUCCCCAAGUCAUGGCUAAGUGGGAAAGGAUGUGAGGAUCCCAAAACAACCAGGAUGUUGGCUUAGAAGCAGCCAUCAUUUAAAGAAAGCGUAACAGCUCACUGGUCUAAAUAAGGGUCUUUGCGCCGAAAAUGUAACGGGGCUGAAGCCAUGCACCGAAGCUGAGGAUUUGCCUUACGGCAAGUGGUAGCGGAGCGUUCCGUAAGCCUGUGAAGGGAUACCCGUGAGGGGUCCUGGAGGUAUCGGAAGUGCGAAUGUUGACAUGAGUAACGAUAAAGAGGGUGAGAGACCCUCUCGCCGAAAGACCAAGGGUUCCUGCUUAAAGUUAAUCUGAGCAGGGUUAGCCGGCCCCUAAGACGAGGCGGACACGCGUAGUCGAUGGGAACCACGUUAAUAUUCGUGGGCCUGGUGGUAGUGACGGAUCGCUUAACUUGUCCGGACUUAUUGGAUUGUCCGGGCGGGGACGCGGUUCCAGGAAAUAGCUCCACCGUAUAGACCGUCCCGAAACCGACACAGGUGGUCAGGUAGAGUAUACCAAGGCGCUUGAGAGAACUAUGUUGAAGGAACUCGGCAAAUUGCACGCGUAACUUCGGAAGAAGCGUGACCUCAUGAUGGGCAACCAUUGUGGGGUGGCACAGACCAGGGGGUAGCGACUGUUUAUCAAAAACACAGGGCUCUGCGAAGUCGCAAGACGACGUAUAGGGUCUGACGCCUGCCCGGUGCUGGAAGGUUAAGAGGAGGGGUGCAAGCUCUGAAUCGAAGCCCCAGUAAACGGCGGCCGUAACUAUAACGGUCCUAAGGUAGCGAAAUUCCUUGUCGGGUAAGUUCCGACCUGCACGAAUGGCGUAACGACUUCCCCGCUGUCUCCAACAUAGACUCAGUGAAAUUGAAUUCCCCGUGAAGAUGCGGGGUUCCUGCUGUCAGACGGAAAGACCCCGUGCACCUUUACUAUAGCUUUACACUGGCAUUCGUGUCGGCAUGUGUAGGAUAGGUGGUAGGCUUUGAAGCGGGGACGCCAGUUCUCGUGGAGCCAUCCUUGAAAUACCACCCUUAUCGUCAUGGAUGUCUAACCGCGGUCCGUCAUCCGGAUCCGGGACAGUGUAUGGUGGGUAGUUUGACUGGGGCGGUCGCCUCCGAAAGAGUAACGGAGGCGCGCGAUGGUGGGCUCAGAGCGGUCGGAAAUCGCUCGUCGAGUGCAAUGGCAUAAGCCCGCCUGACUGCGAGACUGACAAGUCGAGCAGAGACGAAAGUCGGUCAUAGUGAUCCGGUGGUCCCGCGUGGAAGGGCCAUCGCUCAACGGAUAAAAGGUACGCCGGGGAUAACAGGCUGAUGACCCCCAAGAGUCCAUAUCGACGGGGUUGUUUGGCACCUCGAUGUCGGCUCAUCGCAUCCUGGGGCUGGAGCAGGUCCCAAGGGUUUGGCUGUUCGCCAAUUAAAGCGGUACGUGAGCUGGGUUCAGAACGUCGUGAGACAGUUCGGUCCCUAUCUGCCGUGGGUGUAGGAAUAUUGACAGGAUCUGUCCCUAGUACGAGAGGACCGGGAUGGACAUAUCUCUGGUGGACCUGUUGUCCUGCCAAGGGCAUAGCAGGGUAGCUAUAUAUGGAAGGGAUAACCGCUGAAGGCAUCUAAGCGGGAAACCCACCUGAAAACGAGUAUUCCCUUGAGAACCGUGGAAGACGACCACGUUGAUAGGCCGGGUGUGGAAGUGCGGCAACGCAUGAAGCUUACCGGUACUAAUCGUUCGAUCGGCUUGAUC
rnacentral:rRNA from 1 species